rnacentral:tmRNA from 1 species
GGGGGUGCAUUGGUUUCGACUUGGGAGCUAAGCACUAGUGGCAUGCAGAGGAUAUCGGUUGGCCUCUUUAAAAAUCCGGUAAAACGAUAAAUGCUAAAGAAAGCAAAGUUGUUCACGUAGAUUUUUCUGCGCAAGAACUAAUGGCUGCUUAAGACCUAACCGUUUUAAGUGCCCGAUCACCUAAAAUUGGACCGAGGAUUUUAGACUGAUCGUUAUAUAUCUUGGUAUGAGUGUUUGAAGCUGUUCUUUUAUCAGGCAUUUCGAGAUUUUAAAGAACAGGUUGACCUCUAGUGGGGCGUCUUACGGCAGGGUCAAUCUUUAAAAGUAUAAGACGAUAAGCAUGUAGUCACUGAUGUGGCGUUUUCUGAGGACGAGAGUUCGAUUCUCUCCACCUCCA